rnacentral:tRNA from 1 species
GGCAAGAUGGCUGAUAAAGGCGGGGAACUGUAAAUUCUCUUAUAAACAUUGUUUUCUUGUUA